rnacentral:rRNA from 1 species
AAGCAUCUAAGCGCGAAGCGAGCCCUGAGAUGAGUCUUCCCUGACAGUUUAACUGUCCUAAAGGGUUGUUCGAGACUAGAACGUUGAUAGGCAGGGUGUGUAAGCGUUGUGAGGCGUUGAGCUAACCUGUACUAAUUGCCCGUGAGGCUUAACCAUACAACACCCAAGGGGUUUUGUA